rnacentral:rRNA from 1 species
UAGGGAAUCUUCCGCAAUGGGCGAAAGCCUGACGGAGCAACGCCGCGUGAGUGAUGAAGGUCUUCGGAUCGUAAAACUCUGUUAUUAGGGAAGAACAAAUGUGUAAGUAACUAUGCACAUCUUGACGGUACCUAAUCAGAAAGCCACGGCUAACUACGUGCCAGCAGCCGCGGUAAUACGUAGGUGGCAAGCGUUAUCCGGAAUUAUUGGGCGUAAAGCGCGCGUAGGCGGUUUUUUAAGUCUGAUGUGAAAGCCCACGGCUCAACCGUGGAGGGUCGUUGGAAACUGGAAAACUUGAGUGCAGAAGAGGAAAGUGGAAUUCCAUGUGUAGCGGUGAAAUGCGCAGAGAUAUGGAAGAACACCAGUGGCGAAGGCGACUCUCUGGUCUGUAACUGACGCUGAGGCUCGAAAGCGUGGGUAGCAAACAGG